GAGUCAUGGUGAGGUCGAAUGGGUGAAGUUGGGUCGAAAGUCGCUUGAACAACCAGUGGCCGCGGUCCGGACUCACACAACCGCAUGUGGGACAUGUUUGGCCAUGGUCACGAGUAUGGAACCAUGAUCAAGGUAGGGUUGGCUGUGGUCCAGACUCAUGCGACCGUGGGGGCUUAAAUGCGGCCUAUUCCUGCUUCUCCUUGGUUCAUG
rnacentral:lncRNA from 1 species